ACGCUGGCGGCAGGCCUAACACAUGCAAGUCGAGCGGAAACGACUUAACUGAACCUUCGGGGAACGUUAAGGGCGUCGAGCGGCGGACGGGUGAGUAAUGCCUAGGAAAUUGCCCUGAUGUGGGGGAUAACCAUUGGAAACGAUGGCUAAUACCGCAUGAUGCCUACGGGCCAAAGAGGGGGACCUUCGGGCCUCUCGCGUCAGGAUAUGCCUAGGUGGGAUUAGCUAGUUGGUGAGGUAAUGGCUCACCAAGGCGACGAUCCCUAGCUGGUCUGAGAGGAUGAUCAGCCACACUGGAACUGAGACACGGUCCAGACUCCUACGGGAGGCAGCAGUGGGGAAUAUUGCACAAUGGGCGCAAGCCUGAUGCAGCCAUGCCGCGUGUGUGAAGAAGGCCUUCGGGUUGUAAAGCACUUUCAGUCGUGAGGAAGGUGGURYWGUUAAUAGCWSYAUCAUUUGACGUUAGCGACAGAAGAAGCACCGGCUAACUCCGUGCCAGCAGCCGCGGUAAUACGGAGGGUGCGAGCGUUAAUCGGAAUUACUGGGCGUAAAGCGCAUGCAGGUGGUUUGUUAAGUCAGAUGUGAAAGCCCGGGGCUCAACCUCGGAAUAGCAUUUGAAACUGGCAGACUAGAGUACUGUAGAGGGGGGUAGAAUUUCAGGUGUAGCGGUGAAAUGCGUAGAGAUCUGAAGGAAUACCGGUGGCGAAGGCGGCCCCCUGGACA
rnacentral:rRNA from 1 species